rnacentral:rRNA from 1 species
GAUGAACGCUGGCGGCGUGCCUAAUACAUGCAAGUCGAGCGAACGGACGAGAAGCUUGCUUUUCUGAUGUUAGCGGCGGACGGGUGAGUAACACGUGGAUAACCUACCUAUAAGACUGGGAUAACUUCGGGAAACCGGAGCUCAUACCGUAUAAUAUUUUGAACCGCAUGGUUCAAAAGUGAAAGACGGUCUUGCUGUCACUUAUAGAUGGAUCCGCGCUGCAUUAGCUAGUUGGUAAGGUAACGGCUUACCAAGGCAACGAUGCAUAGCCGACCUGAGAGGGUGGUCGGCCACACUAGAACUGAGACACGGUCCAGACUCCUACGGGAGGCAGCAGUAGGGAAUCUGCCGCAAUGGGCGAAAGCCUGACGGAGCAACGCCGCGUGAGUGAUGAAAAUCUUCGGAUCGUAAAACUCUGUUAUUAGGGAAGAACAUAUGUGUAAGUAACUGUGCAGAUCUUGACGGUACCUAAUCAGAAAGCCACGGCUAACUACGUG